UGGGCUGUCGCCAAGUGGUAAGGCAACGGGUUUUGAUCCCGUCAUUCGUUGGUUCGAAUCCAGCCAGCCCAGCCA
rnacentral:tRNA from 1 species